rnacentral:rRNA from 1 species
GACGAACGCUGGCGGCGUGCCUAACACAUGCAAGUCGAGCGAGGAGAUUCCCUUCGGGGAUGAACCUAGCGGCGGACGGGUGAGUAACACGUGGGCAACCUGCCUUAUAGAGGGGAAUAGCCUUCCGAAAGGAAGAUUAAUACCGCAUAACAUUGCACUUUCGCAUGAAAGAGUAAUUAAAGGAGCAAUCCGCUAUAAGAUGGGCCCGCGGCGCAUUAGCUAGUUGGUGAGGUAACGGCUCACCAAGGCGACGAUGCGUAGCCGACCUGAGAGGGUGAUCGGCCACAUUGGGACUGAGACACGGCCCAGACUCCUACGGGUGGCAG